UACGGAGGGUGCAAGCGUUAUCCGGAUUCACUGGGUUUAAAGGGUGCGUAGGUGGGCAGGUAAGUCAGUGGUGAAAUCUCUGGGCUUAACCCGGAAACUGCCGUUGAUACUAUCUGUCUUGAAUGUAGUGGAGGUGAGCGGAAUAUGUCAUGUAGCGGUGAAAUGCUUAGAUAUGACAUAGAACACCGAUUGCGAAGGCAGGUGACUAAGCCGUAACUGACGCUGAGGCUCGAAAGCGUGGGGAUCAAACAGG
rnacentral:rRNA from 1 species